UACGUAGGGUGCAAGCGUUGUCCGGAAUUAUUGGGCGUAAAGAGCUUGUAGGCGGUUUGUCGCGUCUGCUGUGAAAUUUCGGGGCUUAACCCCGAGCCUGCAGUGGAUACGGGCAGACUAGAGGUAGGUAGGGGAGAAUGGAAUUCCCGGUGUAGCGGUGAAAUGCGCAGAUAUCGGGAGGAACACCGGUGGCGAAGGCGGUUCUCUGGGCCUUACCUGACGCUGAGGAGCGAAAGCGUGGGGAGCGAACAGG
rnacentral:rRNA from 1 species